UUAUCGCCCAAGGAUGAGCCCGCGUAAGAUUAGCUAGUUGGUGGGGUAAAGGCCUACCAAGGCGACGAUCUUUAGCUGGUCUGAGAGGAUGAUCAGCCACACCGGGACUGAGACACGGCCCAGACUCCUACGGGAGGCAGCAGUGGGGAAUCUUGCGCAAUGCGCGAAAGCGUGACGCAGCAACACCGCGUGAGGGAAGACGGCCUUAGGGUUGUAAACCUCUUUCAGAUGGGACGAAGGUUGUCCGGUCGAAUAGCCGAGAUGAUUGACGGUACCGUCAGAAGAAGCUCCGGCUAACUACGUGCCAGCAGCCGCGGUANAUACGUAGGGAGCGAGCGUUGUCCGGAAUCAUUGGGCGUAAAGAGCACGUAGGUGGAUCAAUAAGNNCUCGCUNGGAGAAAAGUCGAAGGGCUCAAACACUUAGAAUCGCGCCNGGGNGGGGAUCACUGGGAGGAUACCUAAAGGUACAGGGCACAAAGGCAAACGUCAGGCAACUACAAUGGGGAGAAACACAGGGAGGAACANAGACGACAAUAUNAAAUCCCGGGCAAGGAAAANANCAUCACCAACCGGUAACGAAAAACAUCAAGAAAAGACAAA
rnacentral:rRNA from 1 species